rnacentral:tRNA from 1 species
GCGCCGGUGGGCGGCGGCUGUGCCGUGUGCUGUCUCAGCGCCGGGGGGACGGCGUCAGGCCCGACCGGAUCGUGUCCAGCACGGCGGCC